UAUCGAUUAAUUGAUGUAUAGUAUUUCGUAUAUAUUUGAUUAAUUUUCAAUCUUGCUUCCGUUUUUCAUUGAAUUUUGACUUUCUAGUCAUUGCAAUUUUAACCAAGAUAGGAUUGAUUUACUCGUCUACUGAGAUGGUCAGGAUCUGUCAUUUGCUUUAAAGCACGGAAAUUUUAGGGUACCAGAACCAUAAUUUAUGCAUUUACGAAAAAUUCGAAACACUUUUACAAUUUUUUUUUUAAACGAAAGUCAUGAACGAAAUAAGCCUUUCAUGCUUCUUACAUCUCACUGGUGAAACAAAA
rnacentral:misc_RNA from 1 species